rnacentral:rRNA from 1 species
AUACGGAGGAUGCAAGCGUUAUCCGGAUUUAUUGGGUUUAAAGGGUGCGUAGGCGGUUUGCUAAGCGGGAGGUGAAAUGCCGGCGCUCAACGUCGGAAGUGCCUCCCGAACUGGUGGACUUGAAUGACUCUGCCGUGGGAGGAAUGUGUAGUGUAGCGGUGAAAUGCUUAGAGAUUACACAGAACACCGAUUGCGUAGGCAUCUCACGAAGGGUUGAUUGACGCUGAGGCACGAAAGCGUGGGGAUCAAACAGGAUUAGAUACCCUGGUAGUCCACGCAGUAAACGAUGAUGGCUAACCGCUGGGCUUAUCAGUUCAGUGGCCAAGCGAAAGCGAUAAGCCAUCCACCUGGGGAGUACGACCGCAAGGUUGAAACUCAAAUGAAUUGACGGGG